UUUAAUUCGAUGAUACGCGAGGAACCUUACCUAGGCUAGAAUGCGCGUGACCGGGUCAGAGAUGGCCCUUUCCUUCGGGACACAAAGCAAGGUGCUGCAUGGCCGUCGUCAGCUCGUGCCGUGAGGUGUUGGGUUAAGUCCCGCAACGAGCGCAACCCCUACAGUUAGUUGCCAGCGGGUCAAGCCGGGGACUCUAGCUGGACUGCCUGCGCAAGCAGUGAGGAAGGCGGGGACGACGUCAGGUCAUCAUGGCCCUUACGCCUAGGGCGACACACGUGCUACAAUGGCCGGUACAGCGGGUAGCUACCAGGCGACUGGAUGCCAAUCUCGAAAAGCCGGUCUCAGUUCGGAUUGGAGUCUGCAACUCGACUCCAUGAAGCUGGAAUCACUAGUAAUCGCGCAUCAGCCAUGGCG
rnacentral:rRNA from 1 species